ACGUCCUUAGUUCAGUCGGUAGAACGCAGGUUUCCAAAACCUGAUGUCAUGGGUUCAAGUCCUAUAGGGCGUG
rnacentral:tRNA from 2 species